GCAAAUUUGUGGGCAGGAGUAGUAAUGAGGAAAGUCAGAUACAGCCCAUUUAUGAGUUUAAGUUUAUGCCGCAGAAGGACACAAUUGGAAAUUUUUGAGUAAUUGAAUUUAAGGGCAACACAGAAAGCAGCAAUGAAAAGAAAGCCAGGUGACACUGAAUAGGAGACGUCCUCGGAUGAGAGGUUGCACACCCUGGCACGGGGGCUGCGCUCUGGUCCGUGGCAGUAGUAAGAAGCAAGCAAAUAGCAAAAGUAGAGGUAAAGGAUGAGGUCAGGCUUUCCUACC
rnacentral:lncRNA from 1 species